CUGUAGGGGGAGCUGCAGCGGAAGCGCAGCUCCUCUCAGGCAGUUCAAGGGGCCAUGAGACAGAGCUACGUGAGGCAGUGGCUGCUGUCUUCGGCUCCCACAGUAAUGUAAGGAGGAGGCAGCUUCCGGGUCAUCAUGGGUCUUUGCGUUGUCCUAAGAACAAAACUCCCCAAAAAAAUUCUGUUGUGUCAGAAAGCUCCCGUGAGGUAAUAAUGAUGACCUCCAGUGUCUAGAUCUGCAUGGAGAGCAUGGUCUUUGAUCCAGGUUCUUUGAUACAGUCCUUUGUUUGUAGUCCUCUCCAGAACCAAAGUCCAUUGUGUCAUGAUGGUUAGAGAACUCCUGAGGUAACGGGAACUCCUCCGCGGAGGAAUGUGAUCUGCGCCCAAAUACUUUGUCCUGAAGUUCUGCAAUGUCAUUCCGGAUGUCUGCCAUCAUUAACAACAGGAAGUCGAAGGAUCCUGGGGGCCCCUGCAAAUACACACAGACAAUUUGAAAUUAAUAAUAAAAUAAAAAAAUGACACUGA